rfam:TPA: Bos taurus chromosome 16, whole genome shotgun sequence.
UCCCUUGUGGCUUAGAGGGUAAAGCAUCUGCCUGCAAUGCAGGAGACCCGGGUUUGAUCCCUGGGUCAGGAA